rnacentral:lncRNA from 1 species
CUUUGAGUACCUUUAGGUGCCUACUAUUGAUUAGGGAAUGAAUUAGAACGAGAUUGAACCUGGAACAACCUUAGUUGGGAUUCUGGCUUGUACUCGCCAUGGCGAGCAGAUGCUCUCGCCUCGCAAGCACUUCCAGAACUGAGUGCUUUUGAGGAUUGUCAGACCUGAGCUGUUUGGAUUGGUUAGGAAAGGAACUUUAGGUGCUAGUGAGACCUAUUAGAGAUAUUGACUGAGAACUGUGAAGCCUUUAUGAAUUGUUAAGAGAUUAUGAAAUGAAAUAUGGAAUGAUUGCCUUUACUUGAAUUAUUGUUGAAUGAUCAAGAAAUUGUUGAGAAUGAUUUGUUAUUAAGCUUGAUGUGAUUUGAUUAUGCUGCAAAUGUUAUUUAACUAAGUUGCAUGUUUAUGAAUAAGCUGAUGAUGAACUCCAAAUUAUUGGAUGUAUAAGUGAUAAGUUGAUUAAGAUGUUUUGUUGUUAGAGUCCAUGCAUUAGCAUUCAUUGAGCUUUGUCCUCACCAUGUUAGGAGCUUUGUCCUCCGCACGUUUAAGAGCUUUGUCCUCCGCACGAUGAAAGUAUAUUAAUACUUAUGAUGACGAUUGGUACCACAUGCAUAUAAGUGUCUAAGUUGCAUUGUCGCAUUUGUCGAGUUUAAAGAUGUUUAUGUUGUUGACGAUGAAUGAAGUUGUGAUUAUGUGAUACAUGUUUAUCAAAGAUGCAAUGUUGAUUUAGACUGAUUAUGAUGUUAAUUAUGAUUUGUAUUAUAUUGAUUAAUAUUAUUGUGUUAAGAAAUCUCACCCCUUCUGCUUGAAAAUGUUGCUCUUCGUAUGAGUAACUUGCAGGUGAUCGUGCUUAAGUGUGCAGUUGCUGUUGUGAGUGGCCUUGCCUCACUGAGUCGUCUAGGUCGCUCUGAUACGUAACGGGAUGGGGUUAUAUGUCAUGCAUGCUUCAUUCUUUUACGUGAACUAUUACGUUAUGUUAUGAUAUUGUUUAACUGUUGUGAUAUUUGAUGGGGCCUACGUGCCAAAACGUUUUAUGGAUUAUGAGAUAAUUUCCGCUGCAAUGUUUGAGUUAUUUGGUUAAAUUGUUAUUUAACCGAUUUGGAUUAUGUUUAAUGUGAUAUCCCGUUUGUUUAUGUUGUUUACUCUGAUAAAUGUUUAAGAAAUUUUUAUAUUGGGAAAACGGGGUGUUACACAAGACACGUUUUGUUUGACCAUAAUCAACGUUGUGUUUAUCUCCUAAAGAUGUGUCAACAUUUUAGGAGACUUUGUUUAUUUCCUAAAGAUGUUCCUACAUUUUGGGAAACUUGUGAUUUGGUUCUGAUCCUUGUGAGCGGAUCUUUUGAAGGAUCAACUUUGUUUUCUGAAGCCCAACAAGAAGGUCAAGCCUGUGCUGCUUCAGAUUAUAUAAGAAAGGACGCAACACUUAAUUGACUACUGAAGCCGUCAUAUCAGAUAUAAAGUUUUAGGGUUUUGAGUCUCUGUUAAUUGUGACCCUUUCUUGUGUCUCCUUGAUACAAGUUUAGGACUGUGUUUUUUGAGUUGUAAUAUUGUGAACUUCAUCAUAUUGACUGUUUUUGUAUAAGUCUAGGAUUCCUAAGUUGAAGUCAGUACGGAUAGUAGCUAGGUGAUAAGUUGUAAACUUGGGUAGCCUCCAGAGUAGGUGUGUUUUUCACCGAACUGGGUUAACAAAUAACCUGUGCCAUUUACGUUUUCUGUCUUUUAUAUUUUCCUUGUGCUGUUUAUUUAUCGUUAGUCUGACGUUGAAACAUUAUAAUCGACAUUCCAACGAUGUCGUAGUGUUGGAUCAUUACAUACAACAUCAGGAAAAUAGCAUGCUAGAAUUUCAAUUGGUAUCAGCUUUAGGGUGAGCUCCAAAGAAUUUACUUUCUGGCAUAAUGGACAAGGAAAAAUGAUUUGUGAACAGACCACCUCUAACAAUGGAGGGGGAGCCAAAUUUUUGUAACAUACAUAUAGAAACUAUUUCAUAUAAUUGACAGAAACUAAAAUUUUACCGUGUGAGCAAGGGUUCGAGUCCUGGCAAAAUUCAUUUUGUGAAUAAAAAUGCUUACAAAUAUUCAGAAAAAGCAUACAAUAGUAUUUUUAGAAUAUUUAAAAAAAGCGUUUAAAAUAUAUAAUUCGACCACGAGUAUUUUUAGAAUUUCUAAAACGUGAAAAAAGAUAAAAUCGGAAAAGAAAUAUAUUUUUAAUUUUUUAACAAGAGGUUUAGUAGAAUUUGAGAUUAGAUAGAUGGAAUAAUAAUAGGUAGUGUUUGUGUAAUAACGCCUUGUUUUGGAGCUUGACGCGAGUUUCAAACAAAACAAUGGUAUCUCAAGCGCUAUCAGUUCCUGCAACUCCCACCUUCACCAUCGCUUCUCACAGAAGAAUCCCUUCUCAACUCGCGUUUUCUCACAGGUUCAUUUUCAUUUCAACUUUCGCUUUCACUUUCACUUUUAUUUUUGUUAAAAUCUUUAUAAUUGAAUUGCAGAAACCCUUGCACGAUAGCUUCUUCCUUCCAUAGCCCCUAUGGUAGUUCUUCUCAAAUCGGUAAUUUCCAAUUUAAUCCUAUUUUCUUUGUCUACUAUUUUUAAUUUAAUAGUUUAAUUUUGACCCAAAUGAAUGAGUUUUUUGUUUUGAAAUGAUAAAUUUUAGUAUUUGUUAGUGAUUGGAGUUGAAAGAACUAUAUUAUUAGUAUAAGUUGACAAAUUUAGGGACUGAAUUGAUGGAUUUUCAUAUACUUUAUGGAUGAAGAAGUUGACAAACUUAUAUACUUUAGGGACUACCCAUUAUAUAUUUAUGCAGUUUAGGGAUUAAAUUGGAAAGAAAGUGAUAUUUUAAGGACUAAAUUGAUAGUUCAUUCAGUUUUAAUACGAAUUACGAACUACUUUUAUUUGAACAAUAAAGCAUGUUAUGAUAUGUAGGUUUUUGUUUUACACAGGCUUAUCAAGUAAAACCCAUGGUUUUCGCUUAAAACUUGAUGAGAAAAGUACACAUGAUGUUGGUACAAGGUACACGUUUUUUACCCUUGUUACUCUUUCAAGUGCUUCAUGUUUAAGUAUAAUGUGUUUGUUUAGUAGGAGACUUUUGAACACCUAUUAUUGUCUGUUUUUUCAUGAUUCAACUUCAAUCAAAGCCUGACUUUCUGUGAUUGUAUACUGGAAAAAUAAGUGUAAGGGCAUAUAAGUAAUUAGGUUGUAGAGUAGUGCGUUGUGAAACACUACCAAAACAUUCAGCUUAUAGACCGUGGCAUGGCGUGUUCAGAAUCAGCAUCAUGACCUAUCUAUGUAUGUAGUCUAUGGAAAUAUCAUUGUAGCUAUACUGUAAAGAGUUUAAUUUGUACGCACUUUCGGUUUGAUAUGUAGGGCGUAUAUGUAAAACUUUUUUACACACAUACGAAUUGAAUUAUUUUGUAAAUAGGUCUAUUUAGCUAAUUUUCUGUAUGCUUUUUUAUUCUUGAACUUUGAUACUUUAAGGAACCUCUGAAAUAUGAGUUAAAACCCCCGUCUCUGCACUUUUUUAAGUAUUAAUGAAUGAAGGACAACUUAUUGAUAUUUCAGUUUACUUGUAGUUAUGGUGUAAUUGAAGCCAAGACGGGGAACCCACCAAUAACACCAGCUAUCAUGACUCCUGGAGGAGCUCUUGAUCUCUCAUCUGUUUUGUUCAGGAAUCGUAUAAUAUUCAUAGGACAGCCAGUUAACUCACAAGUGGCUCAGAGAGUUAUAUCGCAGCUUGUGACUCUGGCCACUAUUGAUCCAGAUGCAGAUAUACUGGUUUGUUAUGUUUUGAUUUUUGACCCUAUUAUUUGACUUUUGACUAAUCUAACAAUGGAUUAUGUGAUUCAUAUUGAGCUGUUUCUAUUUGCAGAUGUAUAUAAAUUGCCCUGGUGGAAGCACUUAUUCAGUGCUUGCAAUUUAUGAUUGCAUGUCUUGGGUAAGAUAAAUGUUUUGUCAUCCCAAUCCUACCUUACACACACGCAACAAAAAAAAAAAAAAUUUACGUUUUCAUUUCUUUGUUAGCUACUUUAAUUCCUUAAUAGUUGUCAAUGUUUUUAACUUGAAAGCAUUUGGUGGCCACAAUUUUUUUCAGAUAAAGCCAAAGGUUGGUACAGUAUGUUUUGGAGUAGCUGCAAGCCAAGGAACACUUCUCCUUGCCGGUGGGGAGAAGGGAAUGCGCUAUUCAAUGCCAAAUGCUCGCAUUAUGAUUAAUCAACCACAAUGUGGAUUUGGGGUAAGAAUCAAGCUUUUGAAAUUUUGUUAUAGAAAAUGCACUUUAGAUUUUAUGAUGGAGCUGACAGAUUAUGAUAAAGAAAAAGACGAUACUGAUUUGGUGUAGGAAGAGGAUAAUAAUGAUGACAAUAUGGUCCCAGUCCCACUUUUUAUCUUAAUAAGUAGUUAAAUACGGACUGUGCCCUCUAGCAUAUGAGUAAAAUAAUCAAAUGCACACCGUGUUCUCAUUCCUCCCUACAGUUUACAAACUUCUAUAAAACUAGAGGACAUGAAUUUUGAGCAUUGAGAUUGAGGCUGAUGUGCCAAGUUGCAUUGGACAUAACCUUUUAAUUUUUGGGACAAGUUGCAAUGAAAUAUCUAUAAGUUUUAUUGGAAGCAUGAUUUCUUCAAAUGUAAAUGUUUUAUUCAAAGUCAAAUUUUUAAAGUUAAUCAUAGAAUGCACUAUGUAGUUUGGCAUUUGAUGUAUAGAUAUACUAAAUAACGAAAGUAUAUUGUUUUUCAUUUUUACAUAAAAAAGAGCUAUGGACUAUGGUGUAUUUUUGGUUGCAGCAGCAGUUUUAUUUUGUGCAUUAUGUGCUGUGAAGUGUAUCGGUCAAUACUCAAUAGGCAUGAUGAUUGAGUUUGUUAUUAAUCUGACUGCAGGGUCAUGUCGAGGAUGUGAGACGUCUCGUGAAUGAAUCUGUUCAAUCCCGCUAUGUUAGUCUUUCUUUCUCUGAAGUUGCAUAAUUUUUAUAAUUUACAGACAGCUGUAAAAUGCUCCUGUGAACUUGGUUUUGCUGAAAGUAGGAUUUUCAUUCAGUCUUGACUGUGACAUUUAUAUUUGUGAAUUGUGAAAACCCUUGAAUGUAUAGUGUUGGGACUUGUCAAUGCAUUAUCAUGCACCGCCUCUUUGAAUUCUUUACCUUGAACAAUAGAUACAUGACUUUGGUUUUUGAGACAAUAGAUACAUGACUUAUUGUCAAAAACUCUAUGAUCGAUUGUUCAAUAGUUUGAGUUACCGGUCCCCAUUCUUGUUAAUAGAAGUUGAAUUUUAGCGCGGGCAGGAUAGUUUUGUGCACUCCAUCUUGCUAAAAGCCCAAAUGACUUUGUGUGAGGAGGUGUCAUGGUUUUAAACCAUUGAUGAGCCAUCCAACAGAAUGGACUAUUGGAAAUUUGGUUCAUUGCAGAAGAAUAUUAAAUUUUAAUUUUCAAUAUAUGUGAAACUGGAAACUUCAUUCAACAUGAUUUCUUCAUGCUCAAGUUACCAUGGCAGCAGCUACUUAGUUAUUUUGUUUGUUAUAGUUUAUCUGACAGUUCUUGGAAAGCUAAGCCUAUUUUCCUCUUCUUCCCCCUUCUUUUUCGAGUACAGAAAAUGGAGAAGAUGUUCAGUGCUUUCACCGGACAGGCUUUAGAGAAGGUGCAAGAGUACACAGAGAGGGACAGUUUUCUUUCUGUUUCUGAGGUAAUAUGAACUGUUUUUCUUCUGCAACUGAAAUAAUAAGUUAAUGUGACUGAGAAUGGUUUCUUGAAGAAACCAGAAUGUUCUCUUUCUAACAAGAAAUGAAUUUUAUGACUGUUGAAGAACAGAAGCAAAUGUUUCUGUUAUAACUUCUGAAAAGAAUCUCAACACAUCAUUAUUCUAUCAAAAAUGAGUUAAAGAGUAUCAAUGUUUUUAUAUAUAUUGGAGAGGUGGGGGGUCGAUGGGGGUAAGCAAGAAUUGAGAGGAAUAUUGGGUUGGGUAAGUCAGGGUGAGGCCCUCUAGGUUCUUUCGCAUCAGGUUUAUCAUUUUCUGUGUCAGUUUUCUCCAUUUCUACAACCCUUUUGUAAAGAGCUCUUAUGUUGUUUGGGAAAUACAAAUUAUUAUGCGAGUGGAGAGUUUAUCAUCUAUAUCUAUAUGUUGUUUUACCCAUUGUUAGUUCCUAUCAUAUCAUGAUUUGUUUUGUUAUUUACUUUAGAUUAGAAGUUUAGUACAUCAGUAUAGGUAUAUUUUGAGUAUUCCCGUUAGCCAUUUGUCUAUUUUCUAUUGAGUAUUAUUAUGGUGACUAGUCUCAGUGAACACUGUUACUAUGUUGAGUUUAUGAUCUUAAUAGUUUUCCGGCUUAAAUGCACUUCUUGUCCGUCUCUUUUAACUAAAACUUGAUUUUAAUCAUCUCAUUUCUAAAUAUAGGAUUUUCGUCCCUAGUUUCAGGAUUUUUCCUCUCAACCAAGUUUGGGACUUAUUUUUCCCAACAACCCACUUCUGGUGCAAAUUAGGAAUGCAAAUCAUCAAAUGCAAUUCUACAUAAUUAAUAAAUACACCUAGUCAUGAAAAAUAAGCCUCAAAUUUGAUUGUGGGGGAAAAUCUUGAAACUUGUGAAACAUGAGGACUAAAGUUCUGGAUUUAGAAACGAGGGGAAUAAAAUACGGCUCUAGUUAAAAAUAGGGAGAUCAAGAGUACAUUUAAGCAUUGUUUUACUGCUAAAAAUUCUUACCCGGUAUUUUUGUAUCUGCCUCUUCUCAUUUCAGGCUUUGGAGUUUGGUCUUAUUGAUGGUGUCCUGGAAACAGAGUAUUGAAUCUAGAUUACAUGCUGUAUAUUUGUAUUUCUAAGAAGUUGAUAAUGUAACUCAUGAGUCAUGAAUGAAUAUGCAAUUAUUUGUAAGUUGACUUUCAUAGAACGGUCAAUCUAGUUUUUGUCUGCUAUUAUGGAGUUCAUAGCAGUUAACCCUUGUUUCCGUUUUGAUUUAAGAAUCUAGUUAUACCACAAACUACUUCACAUUGUCAAUUUUAAAGUAGGACAAGAAAGAGCCUGCUAAAGUGGUGCAGUUAAUGUCAAUUUGAUAAUGGAUUAUACGUAUACAUUUGUUCUCUUUUGAAAUUUAUAAAGAUAUAAUAUAAUACAACGAGAAAGGAGGCCAUUUUAGUGCAUUUGUUAGGGAGAUGAUAAUACAUUUGUUGCUCGGAGCAGCUACUUCUAUUAAAAAUAGAGUUAUCAAUGACAUUUUAAAAUGAAACUUGUCAUUAAAAAUUAGGAAAUAAUAUCUAUAAUCCUUAUGAAUAUCAUUAAGUCAAAUUAAGUUAUUUAAGUGUUAAAUUAAUACUUAAAGUUGGAUAUUUAGUGUCCCCGUGAGCAUAACUCAGUUGGUAGGGACAUUGCAUAAUUUAUGCAGGGGCCGGGGUUCGAAUCCCGGACACUUACUUCUUCACAUUUAAUUGUGAGCUCUAGGCACUAGAUUACUAGACAAAAAAAAAGUUUGAAAAUUUAAAAGUCUCGCUUCAGAAAUUCUCUCUCAACCUCACCAAUAAAGACUACAUUGAAAAAUCUACUUUUCAAUGUCCAAUAUACCUAAUCUUUGGGGAUUUUGUAAUGAGAAAUUGGACCCUAAUAGUGUGUUUGGAUGAGGGAAUAUUUUGAGGUAAUGUAAUGUUUUGAGGAAAUUCAAUUAUUUUGAGGUGGAUUCAAAUAAUAGAAUUCACCUCAAAGUAGUUGAAUUCCCUCAAAACAUUCCCCCAUCCAAACACACUCUAAAAUUUUCAGUAUCUCUGAUUAGCAAGCUUAUUUUUCAAUGAUUACUGACCACAAGAUUUACCACUUAUCAAUUGUUUAUGGCAGCACAUCUCAUGUUGGUAGAAGAAAAAUGAGGAUGGAGCUAAAUUCCCUUCAACAAAGGUACAUUAGUCCUUACUGCUUCAUUGGUGACUUGAAUGCUAUUUUGGGAGCUCAUGAAAAGGCAAAUAAACAUUUUCCUAAUAAUAACACUUCUUGGAAUGUUUUUAGAGGGUGGAGUGUUUGAACAGUUUGAUCCAUUUGGAUACCAGUCAGUUCACUUGGUCUAACGGCAAGAAAGGCAAUAUUAACACGAAUUCUGCUCUCCCCCUUCACUUUUCGCUCGCGCCCUGCAUCCAUGAUAAAAAUGCUCUUGCGCUAGUUAACUAACGCAUGUGUAAAUCAAACAUGACUUAAUUUUACACAUGCGUGACUUAAGUCACGCCGUAUGAGUUAACUCAUGCACCCUGUGUGAGUUAACUCACGCUAGUUACAAAGUUGUGAUUUUGCAAAGUUAACUAGCGCAGGGACAUUUUCGUCAUGACUGCAGGGCGCGAUCGAAAAGUGCAAGGUGAAGAGCAGAAUUCUAUCAACACUUCUCAAAGACUUGAUAGGUCCAUUUGUAAUACUUAUGAAAAGACAGGUCCAUUUGCACUACUCAUUUGGUGAUAAAAGCCGAUUGAUUUUGAGACAAUAGUGUCCAUUACCUCAGCUAACCCUAUGGUUAGAACCUUUGCCAAUAGUUUGCACANNNNNNNNNNNNNNNNNNNNNNNNNNNNNNNNNNNNNNNNNNNNNNNNNNNNNNNNNNNNNNNNNNNNNNNNNNNNNNNNNNNNNNNNNNNNNNNNNNNNUUAAUAAUAAUAAAAUUAAAAAAAAAAACCAAAAAAACAAAACCCGCAAGCCCCACUUGCGGGGUAUUAAAAAAAUUUAAAAAAAAAAUUAAGCCAGCCUACCCCGCAAGUGGGGGUGACAAUCUAUUAAUUUUUAAAAAAAAAAAAAUAAAAAAUAUAGGCGUGUAGUUAUAGUUAUUUAAUUUUAAAAAAAAAAAAAAAAAAAAAAGGGAGGCCGCAAGUCCCACUUGCGGGGUAGUUAAUUUUUAAAAUUUUUUUAAGGUACCCCGCAAGUGAGGGUUGCAAGGUAUCAGUAAAUUCUGAAAAGUAGGGCAUUUAUGCAAUUUUUUUUAAAACUAGGGCAUUUUUGUAUUUUUGGAAUUAAAUAAGGGCAGAAAAAAAAAAAAUUCUCAAGUGGGUCAUCAAUAAAAAAAAAUUAGAUUUUGUCCCUGUAAUUUCAGAUUCUUCCACUUUUGGUCCCUCCUUUCAUCAAGUCAACAGAAUCUGCAUAAAUUACGUCCCUGUAAUUUCAGAUUCCUCCCACUUUUGGUCCCUCAUUUUACGUGCCAUGUAUGCAGAUUCUGCUUACGUAGUGGAAUGGGGGACCAAAAGUGGAAGAAUAUGAAAUUACAGGGACAAAAUCUAAAUCUUUUUUUUUACAGGAACUAAAACUGGAAUUCGCUAAUAUUACAGGGACGAAAAGAGAUAUUUACCCAUGAUAAUAUAUAUGGCGUAAAAGAUUACUUAGAUUGUUUUAUAGGCUUUUAAGUUGUUCAACCCUAAAAAAAAAAAAUUGAUCGAAAGAUAGCUUUUCGAUAGGUUCUGUACAAAAAAAAAUCGAUUGAAAGAUACGUUCUAAUAGAUUUAUAUCAUCAGACAUUACGUUUUGAUAAAUUUAAAGGAUUUUGAAUAAAAUUGAGGGCCUAUAAAACGACAUUGGGUGUGUUUGGUUAUGAGAAGAAAAUAAGAAGAGAGAAAGAGGUAAGAGAGAGUAAGGGAAGAGAGAAAGAGGUGGGAAAUAGAGUAGAUUUAAAGACUAGACAAGCCUCCUCAAUCAACCAAUAAACACAUUCGACAUUUAAGACUUAAUUCACGCAGAGAUUUACACUAGCGUGAGUUAACUCACGCAGAGAUAUUAUUGUCAUUUCAGUUGGGAGCGAGCAAUUUCUGUUGGAUAAAGAGCAGAAUUCAUAAUGAUUCAUUGUUUUGUAUGUUUUGCAUUGCUUGUUUAGAAUGUGCGUACAAGAGCUGGCCAAUUUCGUACAACGUGAUCAAAAAUAAAAUUAUUUUAGAACUAAUAUAUUAAAUUUUAUUCGUAUACAAAAAGAUUCGCAAUAAUUUUACUACUAUACAAAAUGUAAUUUAAAACAACGUCAAGAAACUUUUUUAUAUGAUAGGUUUUAUUACUCACAUAAAAUGUAAAAUUAUUUCAUAAGCUUAACAUAAUAUAUACAGAAUAUAUACAGAGUUGAGGUUCCAGGCAACCCACUUAUUUCAUUUAUUCCCCUUGAGGUGAAUUUCUAGCACCAUAUUACUUAGCUAUUUUGUGAAGUGUAUUUUAACAUUAACGACCUUUUUGUUUAGACAAAACACCACACCCUUCCUCUUUGUUUGGUUGUGAGCAUUGAUAGUUUGAAUUAAAAGAAAUUGUAGUCCACCAUAGUUACACUUUACACGGAUGAUACAUGGUUGUGAUACUUCCUCUAUUUUAAAAUAAGUGUUAUUAUUCAAAUGUGACACUUAAUUUGAGACGGAUAGUGUAUUACUUUUCAUGAUAAGUAACAUUACCCUUUAUAAAAUGGAAUUAAAUAAGUUUUUCAAUCCUAAAAUUAUAAUGGAUUUUUUAUUUUAAUUCAUAAAAAUAAACACGAGGAUGUAUUCAUCCACACACAAAAAAAUUGUUUCGACUUUUGUCACUAUUAAACAUAAUUUUAAACAUAUAAUAAUAUGAAUAUACAUGAGUUUGACAUAAUAGAUAGACAUACUUUCCUUCAAAAAAAAAAAUAGACAUACUUUUUUCAUUCAAAAAAUGAUAGACAUACUUUUAUCCCAUGAGCAUAGUUCAGUUGGUAGAACAAUGUAUUAUUAUAUGCAGGGGUCGGAGUUCGAAUCCCGGACACUCCACUUAUUCACUUUAUAAUGUAAAUUCUAAAUAAUAAGCUACCUGAACCAAAAAAAGAUAGACAUUAUUUUUAUUUUUUUGUCUAGAUAGAUAGACAUACUUUAAACACGUCUUAAAUAUAAAAGUGAAACAAUUUUUUUUAAAUUAUGAACAUAAACUUAUCAAGAACAAAAAAGUGAAACAAUUUUUUUUAAGAGAAUUGAAACAUUUUAUUUUUAUUUUUAAGGACUAAAAUCAAAUUCUAAAUACUUUUAAGGAAGAAAAAUAUGACAUACACAUUUGUUCGGCUACUAUUGAUUACACGCACUAUAUAUAGGGGGGUAUUGAAAUUUGAAACAUUCAUCCAAAAUAUCCCAUACAGACAAAAGAAACUGAACGAGGCUUUUACAUUUGAAAAUGAGACCUGCUCUUGCUGUGCUUACUCUCCUCUUCCUUUUCUUGGUUUGAAUUUCCUUUUACAGUUUUUUAUUUUUUGUACAUUUAAAAUUUAUACAUUUUUUAUUUUGGUGAAAAUAUUUAUAAUUAUUUAUGGAUAUAGUCUCAAUUAUAAGUAGAGUUUACUUUUUAUAUUCAUUUAAUAAUUAAUGUAUUUGGUCUCUGAGAAGUGAACUUUUGCUUAUAAUUGAGACUGAAUGGUGUACUUUACAAAUGUAAAACUUUUUUAGAUGUGUUUUCAAUCAAAUAAUACAAAAUAGAUAUUUGUAAAGAUAUUUUAUAAACUAAAUUCAAAGAAUGUUAUUUUAGUGUAAUUUGAUUGAAUGAAUGUGUAAAAAAGGUGUACACAUUCGAUGUAUGAAAAUUAUUCUCAUAUUUUUUAGUAAUAUUAUUGGUUAUUUAAAAUGAAAUAUAAAAAAGUAAAAUUUACAUUUCUUGAUCAAAUCCUUCUUUCAUGAAUAAUGUCAAACAAUAAUUUUGUAUAAUUCCAUAAAUAGUAAGUUAUUAUAGAAAGUCAUGAAUUUAAUGCAUUGAAAAUUAAAAUAUAUGAUUUUUUCAAUAAACAUUUUGUUUUUUUUGAACAAAUAAAUAAUUUUUCAAUAAUUUUUUUCAAUAAACAUUUUGUUAAUUAAGGAUCUUUAAAGAAUGUCUUUAGAAGACUUGUUAAGAGGACUCUAAUUUUAUUGGCAUUCUUUUGCUAAAAACAGAAACAUAAUUGAUGUUCCCUAGAAAAAACAUUAGUCUUUUUUGUCAAUAAAUCUAGAGUUUAGAAAUUACGAUGUACUACUAACCACCAUUUUCCUUUUUCUUGUCUUCUCAUUAUAAUCCGGAGAAGUUUGCUGCUACUAUAGAAUCAAGAAAUGAUCUAAAGGAAUAUUGGAAAACUAUUAUGAAAGAUGAAGAGAUGCCGGAAGGAAUUCAAGGGCUUCUUCAACUGAAAUCUGAAAUCGAACCUAUGAAGAACUCCAAGGCACAAGAACAACUUGCCAAAGGUAAGUGCGAUGAGCAUCCCGCAACAAACACACUAAAUAUCAUAAAAAAAAAGGUGGUCACAGAAGAAUUUCAACCAAGACCCACAAUUUCAGCUUAUGGUGAUGACAAGAUUGAUAUAAAGGUAACUGAGAAACAUAUAAAAGAUUUUGAGCCAAGGCCAAGUGGCACAAGGUAUGACGGUGAUGGUUAUAAAAGCGAGAAGCUACGAGUGUACUCUGAGUUUGAACCUAGGCCAAGUGCUACAAAGUAUGAUGGUGAUGGUGAAGGUUAUAAGACUAUUAAACUACCAGGGAAUGACGAAUUUGAACCCAUACCAAGUGUUACAAGGUAUGAUGGUGAUGGUUAUAAGAGUAUGAAACUAUCGGGGAAUGAUGAGUUUGAACCCAGACCAAGUGUUACAAGGUAUGACGGUGACGGUUAUCAGAGUACAAAACUAUCGGUGAAUAAUGAGUUUGAACCUAUACCAAGUGUUACAAAGUAUGGCGGUGAUGGUUAUAAGAAUACCAAAUUAUCGGUGAAUAGUGAGUUUGAACCCAUACCAAGUGUUACAAGUUAUGGCAGUGAUGGCUAUAAGAGUAUGAAACUACCGGUUAAUGACGAGUUUGAACCCAGACCAAGUGCUACAAAGUAUGAUGGUGAUGGUUAUCAGAGUACAAAACUAUCGGUGAACAGUGAGUUUGAACCCAUACCAAGUGUUACAAGUUAUGGCAGUGAUGGCUAUAAGAGUAUGAAACUACCGGUUAACGACGAGUUUGAACCCAGACCAAGUGCUACAAGGUAUGACAGUGAUGAUUAUAGAAAAAUGAAACUACCGAUGAACGACGAAUUUGAACCUAGACCAAGCGUUAAAAAGUAUGAUGGUGAUAAUAACAAAAGCAAGAAGCUACAUGUGAACGACGAGUUUGAACCUAGGCCAAGUGCCACAAAGUAUAAUGACUAAAUAAAAUUAAGAAUGUAGCUGCCUUUAAAGGAUAUAAUGUGCUAUAAGUGUGUCCAAUAAUAACUCUGGUGUGAUGUAUUAUGGUCUUUGAAUAAAUAAUGUAAAAUAUUCGGUGAUU